UACAGAGGUCUCAAGCGUUGUUCGGAUUCAUUGGGCGUAAAGGGUGUGUAGGUGGCGCCGUAAGUCGGGUGUGAAAUUUCGGAGCUUAACUCCGAAACUGCAUUCGAUACUGCGGUGCUUGAGGACUGGAGAGGAGACUGGAAUUCAUGGUGUAGCAGUGAAAUGCGUAGAGAUCAUGAGGAAGACCAGUGGCGAAGGCGGGUCUCUGGACAGUUCCUGACACUGAGACACGAAUUCCAUGUUAGCAAACG
rnacentral:rRNA from 1 species